rnacentral:rRNA from 1 species
AUUGAACGCUGGCGGCAGGCCUAACACAUGCAAGUCGAACGAGUGGCGGACGGGUGAGUAAUGUCUGGGAAACUGCCUGAUGGAGGGGGAUAACUACUGGAAACGGUAGCUAAUACCGCAUACAAUCGGAUGUGCCCAGAUGGGAUUAGCUAGUAGGUGGGGUAAAGGCUCACCUAGGCGACGAUCCCUAGCUGGGCUGAGAGGAUGACCGACCACAGUGGAAUGUAGCAACGGUCCAGACUCCUACGGGAGGCAGCAGUGGGGAAUAUUGCACCAUGGGCGCAAGCCGGAUGCAGCCAUGCCGCGGGUAUGAAGAAGGCCUUCGGGUUUUAAAGUACUUUCAGCGUGGAGGCGUUACCCGCAGAAGAAGCACCGGCUAACGCCGUGCCAGCAGCCGCGGUAAUAC